rnacentral:rRNA from 1 species
UACGUAGGGGGCAAGCGUUGUCCGGAUUCAUUGGGCGUAAAGAGCGUGUAGGCGGCCAGGUAGGUCGGUUGUGAAAACUGGAGGCUCAACCUUCAGAGGUCGACCGAAACCAUCUGGCUAGAGUCCGGGAGAGGAGAGUGGAAUUCCUGGUGUAGCGGUGAAAUGCGCAGAUAUCAGGAGGAACACCAAUGGCGAAGGCAGCUCGCUGGGACGUGACUGACGCUGAGGUGCGAAAGCGUGGGGAGCAAACAGG